GCAGGGGUGGCCAAGCGGCUAAGGCGAGUGCCUGCAGAGCACUAGAUCGGGGGUUCGAAUCCCCCCUCCUGCU
rnacentral:tRNA from 1 species